rnacentral:rRNA from 1 species
AUUGAACGCUGGCGGCAGGCCUAACACAUGCAAGUCGAGCGGAUGAAGGGAGCUUGCUCCUGGAUUCAGCGGCGGACGGGUGAGUAAUGCCUAGGAAUCUUCCUGGUAGUGGGGGAUAACGUCCGGAAACGGGCGCUAAUACCGCAUACGUCCUAAGGGAGAAAGUGGGGGAUCUUCGGACCUCACGCUAUCAUAUGAGCCUAGGUCGGAUUAGCUAGUUGGUGGGGUAAAGGCCUACCAAGGCGACGAUCCGUAACUGGUCUGAGAGGAUGAUCAGUCACACUGGAACUGGGACACGGUACAGAAUCCUACGGGAGGAAGCAGUGGGGAAUAUUGGACAAUGGGCGAAAGCCUGAUCCAGCCAUGCCGCGUGUGUGAAGAAGGUCUUCGGAUUGUAAAGCACUUUAAGUUGGGAGGAAGGGCAGUAAGUUAAUACCUUGAUGUUUUGAAGUUACAAACAGAAUAAGCACCGGAUAACUUCGUG